rnacentral:rRNA from 1 species
UGCAGUCGAACGGGGCAGCGGGUGCUUGCACCCGGCUGACAAGUGGCGGACGGGUGAGUAACGCGUAGGAAUCUACCCAGUAGAGGGGGAUAGCCCGGGGAAACCUGGAUUAAUACCGCAUACAUCCUCAGGGAAAAAGGUGGCCAAUUCUUGAAAGCUGCCGCUAUUGGAUGAGCCUGCGCCAGAUUAGCUUGUUGGUGGAGUAAUAGCCCACCAAGGCGACGAUCUGUAGCUGGUCUGAGAGGACGAUCAGCCACAUUGGGACUGAGACACGGCCCAAACUCCUACGGGAGGCAGCAGUGGGGAAUAUUGCGCAAUGGGCGAAAGCCUGACGCAGCUAUGCCGCGUGUGUGAAGAAGGCUCUAGGGUUGUAAAGCACUUUCAGAAGUGAGGAAAGGUAUUCGGUUAAUAGCCGGGUACUUUGACGUUAGCUUCAGAAGAAGCACCGGCUAACUCCGUGCCAGCAGCCGCGGUAAUACGGAGGGUGCAAACGUUAAUCGGAAUUACUGGGCGUAAAGCGUGCGUAGGUGGCUUGGUAAGUCGGAUGUGAAAGCCCCGAGCUCAACUUGGGAAUUGCAUUCGAUACUGCUAGGCUAGAGUAUGGUAGAGGGAAGUGGAAUUUCCGGUGUAGCGGUGAAAUGCGUAGAGAUCGGAAGGAACACUAGUGGCGAAGGCGGCUUCCUGGACCAAUACUGACACUGAGGAGCGAAAGCGU